rnacentral:rRNA from 1 species
UCUGGGUGGAGCGGUGAAAUGCGUAGAUAUCCAGAGGAACGCCCGCGGAGAAAUCGGUGCACUGGGCUUGUUCUGACGCUGAGGUGCGAAAGCGUGGGUAGCGAACGGGAUUAGAUACCCCGGUAGUCCACGCCGUAAACGAUGUUUACUAGAUCAUGGGGGUUUUGACGCUUUCAUGGUCGAAGCAAAAGUGCUAAGUAAACCGCCUGGGGAGUACGGUCGCAAGGCUAAAACUCAAAGGAAUUGACGGGGGCUCACACAAGCAGUGGAGCAUGUGGCUUAAUUCGAAGCAACGCGAAGAACCUUAUCCUGGGUUUGACUAUCUUGGAUGCCUGCCCUGAAAGGGGUUAGGUUGCCUUCGGGUGAAACUUGAACAGGUGCUGCAUGGCUGUCGUCAGCUCGUGUCGUGAGAUGUCGGGUUAAGUCCCUUAACGAGCGAAACCCUUGUCGUUAGUUGCCAGCGGGUCAUGCCGGGGACUCUAGCGAGACUGCCGGUGUUAAACCGGAGGAAGGUGGGGAUGACGUCAAGUCCUCAUGGCCUUUAUGCCCAGGGCUGCACACGUGCUACAAUGGCGUGUAACAAACCGGUGCGAUACCGCGAGGUGGAGCAAAUCGGAGAAAACACGCCUCAGUUCGGAUUGCAGGCUGCAACUCGCCUGCAUGAAGUUGGAAUUGCUAGUAAUCGCAGAUCAGCAUGCUGCGGUGAAUAAGUUCCUGAGCCUUGUACACACCGCCCGUCAAGUCACGGAAGCCGGGGAGUACCUGAAGUCGGGUAGCUAACUUUCGAGAGGCGCCUGCCGAUGGUAAGCUUGGUAACUGGGGGCUAAGUCGUAACAAGGGUAAA